rnacentral:rRNA from 1 species
UACAGAGACUGCAAGCGUUAUUCGGAUUCACUGGGCGUAAAGGGUGCGCAGGCGGUCGGGUGUGUCAGAUGUGAAAUCCCGAGGCUCAACCUCGGAACUGCGUCUGAAACUACUCGACUAGAGUACUGGAGAGGGUAACGGAAUUCACGGUGUAGCAGUGAAAUGCGUAGAUAUCAUUUGGAACGCCAAAGGUGAAAACAGGUAGCUGGGGCUGUGCUGACGCUGAGACACGAAAGCCAGGGGAGCAAACGGG